AGAGGGGGAUAACAUCCGGAAACGGAUGCUAAAACCGCAUAGGUCUUCGAACCGCAUGGUUUGAAGAGGAAAAGAGGCGCAAGCUUCUGCUGAUGGAUGGACCCGCGGUGCAUUAGCUAGUUGGUGAGGUAACGGCUCACCAAGGCCGUGAUGCAUAGCCGACCUGAGAGGGUGAUCGGCCACAUUGGGACUGAGACACGGCCCAAACUCCUACGGGAGGCAGCAGUAGGGAAUCUUCCGCAAUGGACGCAAGUCUGACGGAGCAACGCCGCGUGAGUGAAGAAGGUUUUCCGAUCGUAAAACUCUGUUGUUAAANAACA
rnacentral:rRNA from 1 species